UGGAAACAUUCACAGGUACUGUCCUAGCUGAAUUGUGUACCCUACAAAGUUCAUGCUGACAUCUUAAUCCUCAGAACCUAAGAGAUCUACACUCUAGAAGGGGCUUUGGUGACAUUCUCAUUUAGACCAUGAAGACCAGUGCAGACCUCAGGUAAAAAAUUCAGGAUUGAACGGCUUAAUGCCUGAAGGAAUGGCAAAGACACCAGGGCUAACCAGGAGCAGAGGCUUCUCAUCCUGCACAACUGGUUCUGAUCACAGCUCCCAAUACUUGAUGUAAUGAAGCUGAAACUCUGACAUGUUACAUGGCUAAGGGACAACUUAGAGCAGCACUGAUGCGCUGCACCCAGCACAAGGACAGCUGCGACACACUUGUCAAGCUGCCUGCGUGGUCCUAAAGAAACAACAUCGUCCUUAGAGGAAGCUGCCCCUACAGCAAAGAUUCCCACAUAAUUCACUUUUCCACAGAGACCUUUUGGAAAUGAUCUCACUUUUGCUUGGUGUGCAUGAUGUAUGUAUGUGUCUAUACGUG
rnacentral:lncRNA from 1 species